AAGCGGGGAAGGAUGAGAAGCUUCGACCAAGGUUCGACUCGAGCGCCAGCGAGAGAGCGUUGCCGCAGGCAACGACCCGAAGGGCGAAGCGCGCAGCGCUGAGUAAUCCUUCCCCCACCACCA
rnacentral:sRNA from 1 species